rnacentral:lncRNA from 1 species
CUGAAGUCGAGAUAUAGCAUAUCCAGCUCUACCUGCUGAGAUGAAAAAAGAAGGGUCACGGGGACAAUGGUUGACAGCAUGCCAUGACUCUUUGUGAAGCCAAAUCCAAACUUCAGCAUGGAGUGACAAGGAGAAGGAUAACACUAGUGAACAUACUUAGAACACUCUUCCGUCAUUCCAUGCAAAGGCCCAGUAAUUUUUAAGAAGCAAGGACCAGCUCAUCUGCAGAUGGUGGGGAAAAAACAUCACACUGCUGGGUUGAAGCUUCCUGUGAAGCAGAUUUGAUAGUAUGUAUUGACUGUAUGUGUUCCCAUCAAA